AGUGAACGCUGGCGGUAGGCCUAACACAUGCAAGUCGAACGGCAGCACAGUAAGAGCUUGCUCUUACGGGUGGCGAGUGGCGGACGGGUGAGGAAUACAUCGGAAUCUACUUUUUCGUGGGGGAUAACGUAGGGAAACUUACGCUAAUACCGCAUACGACCUACGGGUGAAAGCAGGGGAUCUUCGGACCUUGCGCGAUUGAAUGAGCCGAUGUCGGAUUAGCUAGUUGGCGGGGUAAAGGCACACCAAGGCGACGAUCCGUAGCUGGUCUGAGAGGAUGAUCAGCCACACUGGAACUGAGACACGGUCCAGACUCCUACGGGAGGCAGCAGUGGGGAAUAUUGGACAAUGGGCGCAAGCCUGAUCCAGCCAUACCGCGUGGGUGAAGAAGGCCUUCGGGUUGUAAAGCCCUUUUGUUGGGAAAGAAAAGCAGCAGGUUAAUACCCCGCUGUUCUGACGGUACCCAAAGAAUAAGCAACGGCUAACUUCGUG
rnacentral:rRNA from 1 species